GCCGGGGGGAAACCGCUCCCGUCCUCCUGCGCUGCUCCGCUGCGGUGCUCUCCGCUAAGACGAGCAGCAAAGAAUCUCAAUCCAUGAAGGGCAUGCCACACUUGGCAGCAGCUGUAUAAGACUUGCUGAUCCAGGUAGUCCCUCCCCUUCUUUCUGCAAGUUGAGAAAGUCACACUAGGGGCAAACUCAUUCACCAGGGC
rnacentral:lncRNA from 12 species